rnacentral:rRNA from 1 species
AGUUUGAUCCUGGCUCAGAACGAACGCUGGCGGCAUGCCUAACACAUGCAAGUCGAACGAAGCCUUCGGGCUUAGUGGCGCACGGGUGCGUAACGCGUGGGAACCUGCCUUUAGGUUCGGAAUAACUCAGAGAAAUUUGAGCUAAUACCGGAUAAUGUCUUCGGACCAAAGAUUUAUCGCCUUUAGAUGGGCCCGCGUUGGAUUAGAUAGUUGGUGGGGUAACGGCCUACCAAGUCGACGAUCCAUAGCUGGUCUGAGAGGAUGAUCAGCCACACUGGGACUGAGACACGGCCCAGACUCCUACGGGAGGCAGCAGUGGGGAAUAUUGGACAAUGGGCGAAAGCCUGAUCCAGCAAUGCCGCGUGAGUGAUGAAGGCCUUAGGGUUGUAAAGCUCUUUUACCAGGGAUGAUAAUGACAGUACCUGGAGAAUAAGCUCCGGCUAACUCCGUGCCAGCAGCCGCGGUAAUACGGAGGGAGCUAGCGUUGUUCGGAAUUACUGGGCGUAAAGCGCGCGUAGGCGGCUUAUCAAGUCAGGGGUGAAAUCCCGGGGCUCAACCCCGGAACUGCCCUUGAAACUGGUUCGCUAGAAUACUGGAGAGGUGAGUGGAAUUCCGAGUGUAGAGGUGAAAUUCGUAGAUAUUCGGAAGAACACCAGUGGCGAAGGCGACUCACUGGACAGUUAUGACGCUGA